AGUCCCCCAAGGAGGCCCACACCCCCAGAUCCAUCUGCCGUGGACUUAACCCAAGAGGGCUGGUGACCUUCAGAUCUUAAAGGUCAUUGUUGUCCAGACUUCACGACGCAGUCACUUGCUGAAAGAAGCCUUUUGUGUUUCCAGAAGGCCGGCAGGCACGAGGGAGGGAGCCCUUUAAUCCCAGCCCUUCAUCUCCUCUCACCCUGAGCAGGUGUAAGGGCCAACAGGGGCCAGGUGAGAGAGCCCCGCCCUGGACUCUCGGGGCUAGAAGGAGACACCAAUUUCUCACACACCCUCCCUCCAUCCCAGGCCUGGAGUCUCUGCAGGGCCCUGAGAGGUGGCCUUCCAGCCCCCUCCCCCGACACCCCCGGUGACCAGGAGCCCACUGCCUUAAAGGAGCCCUUCCCACUGCUGGGCUGGGGUCUGUCAGAUGUCCUAGGGCUGCGGCCCAGCCCUCCGUCUCCCCCCUCUCCGAACACACUCAGCCCCCCUCAGCCCAUGCAGAGACCCGGGCUCCUUGGCUCAGCCUGGGGCAGGAGGUGGAGGGCAGACGGGAUGAGACGGAUCUCACGGAUGGGCUCAGAAGACCAGCCCGCCUUCCAGCCUUGAUGGAGUGGAGCUGUUCUCACCAGUCCCUGUGAAUUCCCAGAGCCCCGGACAUGCCGUGUGUCCAAAGCGAGUCCAGUCAUGUACAUCCCAGGCCCUCCGCCAGAAGACAAGCACUGUCCCGACUUUCCCGCCUUCUUCUGUGGUCGCGCCACCUGGAGAUGCCCCUGGAAGAAGAGAGCUGGUGUUGCCCGCGUUUGAAUUGAACACGAAUGAGAGACCCCACCGCCUCCUUUCGCUCAGCGUUGCCUAUUGGAUCAUCUGUGCCGCUGAAGCUUGUCCCUUUUAUUCCAUUUUUGGUUUAUAGGUGGGGAAACUGAGGCCCGGAGCAGGGACUGCGGAAGCUGGGUAAACAGGGGUCUUCGAUGUCCUCCCUGGAGUCCCAUUGCUGGAAGACCUUCUCCAACCAACCCCAUCUUGGGCAGCCCAAUUCACUCUCUCCCUAGGGCCCUCAACCUCAUACAGCAUAAGUGAGAAUCCCCAGGGAAUGUGAGGACCAGGGGAUGGUGGGACCUCAGGGACGGAGCUGGGAGUGCUCCCCAGGGAAGGCCGUUUCAGGCUGUCUGGACCCCAGCACCCAAGCUGAAAAGCCCUGGGCCUCACAAAGACCAAACACGCAGCCUGGUCUGGGCUUACUCUCCAGAUGGAAGCUCUGAGCCCUGGCACAGGCUCCCGGCAAUGUCCCGUCUCGCCCGUCUGUCCCUCCUCCCAUCUGGGCACCAGAACACUGGCUGCUGAGAUGCAGUCAGGGUGAUGGACGAGGUUGCAUGCUCCUCAAGGGACCCUUGCAGUUCCUCCCCUAGAGCUAUUCCUGGCUUCGGAGGCGCCUCCCUGCCCCCCCCCCCAGUCCCCCUGCCUGACCUGACCGCACAGCUGGGAAUCAUUUGCUUGGGAGGGUGGGGCAGUCCCCUGACUAUAUAAGCCAGGACCUAGGUGUCCCGGCGCCCUGGCAGCACAGACCCUCCACGGCUAAUCCCUGCACUCUCCAGCCUGACCCCCCAGCCCAGAAUGACAGGAAAAGCCACCUCGGAGGCCCCCGCCCGUGGUCCGGGGGAGACCGCCUCUGAGUCUGCAGAUGUGGGCCCCCCAGAGCCCUCUGGAAAGGUGGCAGCACCGGAGUCUACUGGGGGAGACCAGGCUCCCAAGCCACAGGAGCCUGCCCCUCAGGCACCUGCCCCCGCAGCCACUAAACCUGCCCCUCCGAGUGAAGGUGACAAGAGGCAGGGCAGAUGUCCCCAGUGCCCCGCUGCUGCUGGCCGUGGAGGAUGUGAGCGAGAGCUCGGUGGCUGUGAGCUGGGAGCCCCCCGAGAGGCUAGGGAAGCUGGGGUUCCAGGGCUACGUGCUGGAGCUCCGCCGAGAGGGAGCCAAUUCAGCCUGGACUCUGCCUUUGCCUCUACCUUGCUGUGUGACUUGGCAAAUGUGUCCAGCCCUCUCUGGGCUUCAGCAACCCCAUCUUUGGCCACCGCUCAGGGGCUCAAACAUCAGAUGUCUUUGAUGCCAUUUGACAAUGAGAAGUCAGGAAGGAAGAGCAUGGGGGAAAUAAAACCCGGAAAAGGAGCCUCGGAGUGGGUGCCUGUGAAUGCCCGGCCCAUGAUGGUGACCCAGCAGACUGUGCGGAACCUGGCUCUGGGUGACAAGUUCUUCGUGCGUGUGGCUGCGGUGAACUCUGCAGGGUCUGGCCCACCAGCUGUGCUGGACCAGCCUGUCCACAUCCAAGAGACCAUCGAGGCUCCCAAGAUCCGUGUCCCCCGCCACCUUCGUCAGACCUACAUCCGUCAGGUGGGAGAGACGAUUAACCUGCAAAUCCCCUUCCAGGGGAAUCCUAAGCCUCAGGCCUCGUGGACCCACAACGGCCAUGCCCUGGACAGCCAGCGGGUAAAUGUGCGCACCGGGGACCAGGACUCCAUCCUUUUCAUCCGCUCAGCCCAGCGCUCCGACUCGGGCUGCUACGAGCUCACUGCGCAGCUGGAAGGCCUGGAGGCCAAGGCAGCCAUCAACGUCCUGGUGAUUGAGAAACCGGGAUGCCCCGGCACCAUCAGGCUCCUGGACGUCUGGGGCUGCAACGCUGCCCUUGAGUGGACACCACCCCAGGACACAGGCGGCACAGAGCUCCUGGGCUACACAGUGCAGAAGGCAGACAAAAAGACAGGGCAAUGGUUCACAGUGCUGGAGCGCUACCACCCGACCACCUGCACCGUCUCCGACCUCAUCGUGGGCAACUCCUACUCCUUCCGGGUCUUCUCGGAAAACCUGUGUGGACUCAGUGAGUCGGCCGCCGUCACCAAGGAGCUGGCCCACAUCCAGAAGACAGGUGAGUCCGGGGCCAGGACCGGAAACCAAGCCAGGCCUGGCCAAGCUGGCCCUUCUCCCUGUCCCUGCCUUGUCCUUGGGGCAUCAGCAUCCCUGCUUUUAGGCUUCUCGUGGGUGGCCCCUUGAUGGAACCUUUGCUGCCCCUCCACACCCAACUUCACAGCCACACACACAUGGUCAUGUGGAGUGACUGCAAAGAGAUGGAUGUGGUUGACUGAUUGCAACGAACACACCGGCGCACACCUGUGCAAGUGAGAAGCACCCUAGGGAGGCUGCGCACUUAUUCUAAAGCUGUCGGGUAGCUGCCAACAUCCCAGUGGUCACUGACUCGCAUGUGCAGUGUCCCACGGGAGCUACUCUGAAGGGCGACGUGCGUGGAGAGGUAGACUGGCGAGUUUGCUGAAAGCACAAACCUCCGGACCCUAAAAUAACACCACACAGAUGGACAAGAGAGAUAUGGGUAUUUACUGUCUCCACGCAGGCACAUGACCCUCUUGCGUCAAAUGUGAAAUUCCAGGCCCUUUCUCCCUGUCACCCUGCGGUCUCCAAGGCCCUCCCCCACGCAGUCUGUGUGGGCUCCAGAAGGCACAUUCUUUCUGAUGCUAGCCUGAGCUGCACAGAAUUAGGAAGAAAUUUUUGUUUAACAGAGGAAAGCCAGCCAGGUCUCCAAAGACAAACAGAAAUGACAUGUGGUACCUCCGGCUGCUUGGCCAUCUCAUCUAUUGGUUUUCCUGCCCACUCCUCUCUUUGAUCCCCUCCGUGACUCACCCAGCCAUGGUCUCGGCUUUCCUCUGCCUCUCUGAGACAUUCUGCCUGUAAGUUCCCAUGGGAUGGUUGUGCCUGACUUCCCAAAGACCCCAGGAGCCCCGGGUCCUGCCCUGGGGCUCCAGAUGAGGGGGUGUGGAUGAAAUGGAGUGUCACCCACCCUCCUGAUGCUAAGAUCUUCCUCCGGACCACCCGCUCUGUGUCAUCAUGUGACCUUCCACACCUUACGCCCCACACUCACCAAGUGGAAUUAACUCACCCGUGAAGGGCCUCACUUUCCCAUCUGUCAGCCGGGAAGAGAAGCCUACCCUGGCAGAGGAAAGCUGUGUAGCUUAAAUGAGACAGCCAAGUAUACUGUGGCCAAGCCGAAAAGCUUUGUUGAGCGAGACUUCUCCGAAGCCCCCUCAUUCACCCAGCCCCUCGCUGACCACACCUCCACCCCUGGCUACAGCACUCAGCUCUUCUGCAGCGUCCGAGCAUCGCCCAAG